AUGCAUGAUUUAGCAGGCGACCCCUGACCUCUGCUGAGUAAGAAGCCUGCCUUAGAGGCAAAAUCAAGAGGGACAAAAAGCAGUGCUCACUCAUGAACAAUUAUUAUGCUUAACAGCAUGACUGUCAUUUUAGAGGGAAAGGGAAAAAACAGUAUGUCCUGAAUAAUGAAGGAUUAAAAUUCACCUGAGACUCGGCUCUGGCUGGGGCUGGCGCUCACCGCCAUCGCUCAGUGGGGCAGAAGUCAAAACCCUCCACAGCUUCAGGCAAUAUUCUUGCCCAUGGACCUGGGAACAGUAAAGCUCAUGUCUCCUGUGGACUGACCAAAAAAGGAGGCAGAUAUCAGCUGAGCUUCUAUUUGCUUAACUGUAUUUUGAUCACAUUCUUCAUAUAACUGUAACUUCUGUAGGAGCAUCAUGGCAUGGAGGAUCAUUAGCUUCCUCUCAAAAUACAAUCCCACCAGCACUGCUGUCUUUGGCAGAGGGCCUCCAAUUAGUGAUGAUCUGCACUGCUGAAACUUGAUGAGAAGUGGGUUUGCAAGACACUGCAGCUAUUGUUUCCCAGUGGUUGUCUACAGAUCCGUGUGAAUUCGCUGGGUGGCUAAGAGCACAGCAGGUAGCCUAGACUCUGACUCAACUCCCAGCAUCAAUAUUUGAACUAGUGCCUCCAUGGGAGAAUUAGAACCACCUGGAAAGCAUGAGUGCAAGAACUGCGAUCAGUGAAUCCUACCUCUCUUGCCUACUGGCACACAGGAUGCUGGGGGAGGUCAUGGACAGGUUGAUGGGUUCUCAUGCUGGCGAGUGAUGCAUUAGGGCUGUAGCUUCCUGGCACCAUCUAGAGCCAAAAAGCUGAGCCGAUCCCAAAGCUGUUUUACACUGCAUCUUUACUGGAGUUGGGAAAUGGCAACCAAAGGCUUGGUGUUGGUUCUCCCAGAUCUGCACAUCCAUAGUCUCAUUCAGUGUCAGCAGCAUCCCUCUGUGUGCCAGCAUCCAUUCUGAACUUCUUGAUAUGAUGGACGUCUUGAUUGGUCUUGAUAAACCCUGGUCUCAGGGUUUAUCUUCCUGGUUUUACUUGUGUUCCUGCUCAGCUGGGUUUGUUUGGAUACUGAUUUAUUUUCAGAUGUCUUGUUUCUAACCACAUUUCCUUUUUUUUUUUUUUUUUUGUGAUGGUAUUUUCUCAAGGAUUGUCUUUCAAGUAACCAACAUCACUGCCUCCAUAUACACUCCAAUAAUAGCAGGUAUGGAUGAGCGUGGGUGUCCCACAUUAUACCAUUUUCUAGCAAAACUGGGCAUGUAAAAUGAUAUAUUUGUACACUGUACUGGAACACUGUAAGUGGCUCUGUGCAUUUGAAACCCAGUUCCUGGACUCAUUACAGCUGACAUAUGCAAACAUUUCAACUACAAAAUUUCAGUAAUUGAUCUCUCUAAAAUCCCAGGCUGCAGAUGAGUCUGCUAAGGAAGAAAUGCUGGUCUUUUUUUUUCCCUACUGCUUUUAGUAUUUGCUCGGUAUCAUUAAUAUAAAUACGCAAUCACUGAAAUCAACACAACUGAAGUUAACAGAGCAACUCCAGAUUUACAUCAGUGUAAAUGAGAGCAAAACUUGAUCCCUCACAUGUAAUUUAUCUUUAAUUCUGGUUUAAGUCUCUCUCAUCUUGCUGAAUAAAAACUGAUGUUCUUCUCACACACAAUCUGUAUACCAUUCAUUAGUGUCUUUUCUGUUUGGAAGAAAGAUUGGAGCCUGUGGUAAUGAAAGCUCAAAUCCUGGGGAGC
rnacentral:lncRNA from 1 species